GCGCGGGGUCGAAUGGGCGGCGGGCGGCGACGGGGACCUGAGGGCGUGUGCUGAGGUCUGGCCUGUGCCUCGCGGGGCCCGCCUCUGAGCGGCGCGGGGCGGAGGGCGGCGACCUGCAGCUUGCAGUCCAAGAGCUCGAAAAAGGGGCAGGGAGUGCGUGCUCUUCAGACAAACUGUAGAUGUCCUGGGCUUCAAGAUGAAGGCAGCAGACUCACAACCCACAGGCAUGUUCCACAAUGAAUUUUGGAAUCCACACCGUGAACUUCAAGAAUGUCUGAACUGGAAUUGUCGUAAAGAAACUGAUCCUGCAUGUGAGACGGCUGUGCCUGCUCACCAGAUCCUAGCCUUUCCUGA